rnacentral:rRNA from 1 species
CAGUAGCCGCGGUAAUACGAAGGGUGCAAGCGUUAAUCGGAAUUACUAGGCGUAAAGCGUGCGUAGGCGGUGAGUUAAGUCUGCUGUGAAAUCCCCGGGCUCAACCUGGGAAUGGCAGUGGAUACUGGCUCGCUAGAGUGUGUCAGAGGAUGGUGGAAUUCCCGGUGUAGCGGUGAAAUGCGUAGAGAUCGGGAGGAACAUCAGUGGCGAAGGCGGCCAUCUGGGACAACACUGACGCUGAGGCACGAAAGCGUGGGGAGCAAACAGGAUUAGAUACCCCAGUAGUCCCUGUCUCUUAUAC